rnacentral:rRNA from 1 species
CGCCAGACUCCUACGGGAGGCAGCAGUGGGGGAUAUUGCACAAUGGGGGGAACCCUGAUGCAGCGACGCCGCGUGGGUGAAGAAGCGCCUCGGCGCGUAAAGCCCUGUCAGCAGGGAAGAAAAUGACGGUACCUGAAGAAGAAGCCCCGGCUAACUACGUGCCAGCAGCCGCGGUAAUACGUAGGGAGCGAGCGUUGUCCGGAAUUACUGGGUGUAAAGGGAGCGUAGGCGGGGAUGCAAGUUGGGUGUUAAAUCUACCGGCUCAACUGGUAGUCGCACUCAAAACUGCAGCUCUUGAGUGAAGUAGAGGCAGGCGGAAUUCCUAGUGUAGCGGUGAAAUGCGUAGAUAUUAGGAGGAACACCAGUGGCGAAGGCGGCCUGCUGGACGACAACUGACGGUGAGGCGCGAAAGCGUGGGGAGCAAACAGGAUUAGAUACCCGCGUAU